GGAGAGGUGGCCGAGUGGUCGAAGGCGCUCCCCUGCUAAGGGAGUAGGGCGGUAACGCUCUCGUGGGUUCGAAUCCCAUCCUCUCCGCCA
rnacentral:tRNA from 1 species